rnacentral:rRNA from 1 species
UGAACGCUGGCGGCGUGCUUAACACAUGCAAGUCGAACGAUGAAGCCCAGCUUGCUGGGUGGAUUAGUGGCGAACGGGUGAGUAACACGUGAGUAACCUGCCCUUAACUCUGGGAUAAGCCUGGGAAACUGGGUCUAAUACCGGAUAGGAGCGUCCACCGCAUGGUGGGUGUUGGAAAGAUUUAUCGGUUUUGGAUGGACUCGCGGCCUAUCAGCUUGUUGGUGAGGUAAUGGCUCACCAAGGCGACGACGGGUAGCCGGCCUGAGAGGGUGACCGGCCACACUGGGACUGAGACACGGCCCAGACUCCUACGGGAGGCAGCAGUGGGGAAUAUUGCACAAUGGGCGAAAGCCUGAUGCAGCGACGCCGCGUGAGGGAUGACGGCCUUCGGGUUGUAAACCUCUUUCAGUAGGGAAGAAGCGAAAGUGACGGUACCUGCAGAAGAAGCACCGGCUAACUACGUG